rnacentral:rRNA from 1 species
ACUCCUACGGGAGGCAGCAGUGGGGAAUAUUGCACAAUGGGGGAAACCCUGAUGCAGCCAUGCCGCGUGUGUGAAGAAGGCCUUCGGGUUGUAAAGCACUUUCAGUAGGGAGGAAGGUAGUGUAGUUAACACCUGCAUUAUUUGACGUUACCUACAGAAGAAGCACCGGCUAACUCCGUGCCAGCAGCCGCGGUAAUACGGAGGGUGCGAGCGUUAAUCGGAAUUACUGGGUGUAAAGCGCAUGCAGGCGGCCUGUUAAGUCAGAUGUGAAAGCCCGGGGCUUAACCUCGGAAUUGCAUUUGAAACUGGCAGGCUAGAGUCUUGUAGAGGGGGGUAGAAUUUCAGGUGUAGCGGUGAAAUGCGUAGAGAUCUGAAGGAAUACCAGUGGCGAAGGCGGCCCCCUGGACAAAGACUGACGCUCAGAUGCGAAAGCGUGGGGAGCAAACAGGAUUAGAUACCCUGGUAGCACAGAG